GACGAACGCUGGCGGCAUGCCUAAUACAUGCAAGUCGAGCGAACAGAUGAAGUGCUUGCACUUCUGACGUUAGCGGCGAACGGGUGAGUAACACGUAAGGAAUCUACCUAUAAGCGGGGGAUAACAUUCGGAAACGGGUGCUAAUACCGCAUAAUAUCUUCUUCCGCAUGGAAGAAGAUUGAAAGACGGCUCUGCUGUCACUUAUAGAUGACCUUGCGGUGCAUUAGUUAGUUGGUGGGGUAACGGCCUACCAAGACGAUGAUGCAUAGCCGACCUGAGAGGGUGGUCGGCCACAUUGGGACUGAGACACGGCCCAAACUCCUGCGGGAGGCAGCAGUAGGGAAUCUUCCGCAAUGGGCGAAAGCCUGACGGAGCAAUGCCGCGUGAGUGAAGAAGGCCUUCGAGUCGUAAAACUCUGUUAUAAGAGAAGAACAAAUUGUAGAGUAACUGCUACAGUCUUGACGGUAUCUUAUCAGAAAGCCACGGCUAACUACGUGCCAGCCGCCGCUGUAA
rnacentral:rRNA from 1 species